UACGGAGGGUGCGAGCGUUGUCCGGAAUCACUGGGCGUAAAGGGCGCGUAGGCGGCCUGAUAAGUAGGGGGUGAAAUCCUGCGGCUUAACCGCAGGGCUGCCUUCUAAACUGUCAGGCUCGAGCACAGUAGAGGCAGGUGGAAUUCCCGGUGUAGCGGUGGAAUGCGUAGAGAUCGGGAAGAACAUCAGUGGCGAAGGCGGCCUGCUGGGCUGUUCUUGACGCUGAGGCGCGAAAGCUAGGGGAGCAAACGGG
rnacentral:rRNA from 1 species